GCCUCCUUGUUUUGCUCAGUUGGUUGAGCAUGAUUCUCUUAAUGUCAGAGUUGUGGGUUCAUGCCCCACAUUGGGCA